GAUGAACGCUGGCGGCGUGCCUAACACAUGCAAGUCGAGCGAAGCGGGGACGGGUGAGUAACACGUGGAUAACCUCCUAUAAGACUGGGAAAACAUCGGGAAACCGGAGCUAACCCGGAUACGUACCGAUGGAUCCGCGCUGCAUUAGCUAGUUGGUAAGGUAACGGCUUACCAAGGCGACGAUGCAUAGCCGACCUGAGAGGGGGAUCAGCCACACUGGAACUGAGACACGGUCCAGACUCCUACGGGAGGCAGCAGUAGGGAAUCUUCCGCAAUGGGCGAAAGCCUGAUGGAGCAACGCCGCGUGAAUGAUGAAGGUCUUCGGAUCGUAAAGCUCUGUUAUUAGGGAGGCGGUACCUAAUCAGAAAGCCACGGCUAACUACGUGCCAGCAGCCGCGGUAAUAC
rnacentral:rRNA from 1 species